GGGGAAUAUUGCACAAUGGGCGCAAGCCUGAUGCAGCGACGCCGCGUGAGGGAUGACGGCCUUCGGGUUGUAAACCUCUUUCAGUAGGGAAGAAGCGUAAGUGACGGUACCUGCAGAAGAAGCGCCGGCUAACUACGUGCCAGCAGCCGCGGUAAUACGUAGGGAGCAAGCGUUGUCCGGAUUUAUUGGGCGUAAAGAGCUCGUAGGCGGCUUAGUAAGUCAGGUGUGAAACCUCCAGGCUCAACCUGGAGACGCCACUUGAUACUGCUAUGGCUUGAGUUCGGUAGGGGACCAUGGAAUUCCUGGUGUAGCGGUGAAAUGCGCAGAUAUCAGGAGGAACACCGAUGGCGAAGGCAGUGGUCUGGGCCGAUACUGACGCUGAGGAGCGAAAGCGUGGGGAGCGAAC
rnacentral:rRNA from 1 species